rnacentral:rRNA from 1 species
UACGUAGGGGGCAAGCGUUGUCCGGAUUUAUUGGGCGUAAAGAGCGUGUAGGCGGCCAUGCAGGUCAGCUGUGAAAACUCGAGGCUCAACCUCGAGACGUCGGUUGAAACCGUAUGGCUAGAGUCCGGAAGAGGAGAGUGGAAUUCCCGGUGUAGCGGUGAAAUGCGCAGAUAUCGGGAAGAACACCCGUGGCGAAGGCGGCUCUAUGGGACGGUACUGACGCUGAGACGCGAAAGCGUGGGGAGCGAACAGG